ensembl:lncRNA
UCUCUCUCUCUCUCUCUCUCUCUCUCUCUCUCACACACACACACACACACACACACUCUCUCUCUCUGUCUCUGUUUCACUGAGCGUCAGUCCUCUCUCUCGGAUUUGGAUGCAGUCCCUGUGUGUGUGUGUGUGUGUGUGUGUGUCCAUCCUCCUGCUGUCUCCUUCUCUUUCACUCUCUCUCUCAGUGUGUGUGUGUGUGUGUGUGUGUGUGUGUGUGUGUGUGUGUGCAUGUGUGUGCAUGUGUGUGCUAGUGUGAUCGCUGCUGUCAGUGUGUUGUCGUUCACUGCACUGUUGAUCAGUGUGACUGGAGCUCGUUAUGACUACGGUGAAGGAAUCGAACGCUCAGGCGAAGACAGUGCAGCACCAAGACCAGUGUCGGAGGCUUUCAGCAGAUCGAUGAUGUAAGAUGUGCAAAUCGCGGGCCUUGCAGUGAAUCAGUCCAAAUUACAGCCCGUGUUUAAAGAAAUGGCUCCAAAUUUGAUUUAAUAGCAGUCUGGCUCGAUGUGAAACGACGUGAUUGGGCCAAUCCUGAUGCAGUUUAACGCGCUCCAUCUCUGAAAUUGUAGAGCGUGUGGAGCGAGAUCAGCGCGAGGAGAUGGCUGGGUGUAAAUUGGUGUUCUCUAGGGGGGGAAAUCACACCCAGGGAUGACGAACUGUGUGACACCUGAGCGGUGUUUUUCACUCGACCUUCUCUUUCUAGAUUUAUACUGAUAUUAACAAUGUGGCCAAACAUUCCGAACCCCUUCAACACACUAGGUACUGUUUCCUUUUCCUACAGACUUAAAUAUGAAUAUAAAGCAGCUCAUUAUUUAAUACAGAUCAGAUUUACGCGUGGAGACCCGGCUUCUGAAUGCGGUCCGUGUGUGUGUGUGUGUGUGUGUGUGUAGAGACUCAAAUACACACUAAAUAUGCUGCAAAUAUUUAUAUGUGUAGUACACAGGGAUAUGGGUUUAGUAUAUGAUUGGUGCUGUUGGAGUUAGAUGAGGAAAUCACUGAGACUGAUUGAGGGUGAUAUUACUUUGGGAGAUCCAGCAGCACUCCGAGAACAGUUCUGCACCUCAGACUCAUGCUUACAUUAGCUUUACAUGUCAAUCUGUGUCGCUCUGUUAGAGACGUGGUGAGAUCAAGCAAAGUUACUGGUACCACCAUACCUCCAUCUUAUACCAUUGCAAUUUCCCAACAACCAUUUGUUGGGAUUACCAUUGCAAUUGUCAUGCCAGGUCCAUGAAAGAAGUUAGUUCCCUCACCAGCCUGCCCUCUGUCCUGAAAAUGUCCGAAGAUGAAUCGACACCUUCUGACCAAUCAGAACGCAGAAUCCGUCACUGCUAGCAGUUCAGCGUGUGGCUCAGCGGUGAUAGACUGGCAUCCCAUCCAGGGUGUGUUCUCCCCUCGUGCUCAGUGUUCCCUGGAUUGGCUUCAGGUGCGCCGUGACUCUGAUCAGGAUAAAUUACUUACUGAAAAUGACAGAAUGAUCCGGAGGUUAACUCGAGGAUUUAUGAGGUGCUGAAUCUCACUACCUGCUUAAUAAAUCCCAACAAUGUGGAAACAACACCAUUCUCACCGUCACUACUGUAGACGUGUUGUUUUCAGUAUUUCUCGUUCUAUACUAAAGGAUUCAUUUGACUAAAGGCAUUCAUUUUUCCAGUUUUUAUAAAUAUAUAUAUAUAUAUAAAUCUGUUCUAAUUAUUUUCUACACUAAAGCCUUUACACACUAAUUAGCAAAUGCCUAGACUGGGAGAAUAGUCGUGUUUGUGAAAAUCAUAUAAUAGGUGUAAUAAAAAGCGAGGAUCUGGAGUGACCGUGGAGUGGGGCUUAUCUAUACAGAGCAGCUACAUGGGUUUCAUAAUGAUUUUUAUAUUAGAGGUGAUUUGUAAUUGCGUCAGUCUGUAGUGCCAGAACUCAAUUCCUUUCACAAAUCUCUCUCGCCCCCGAACUUCCUCAUUUACUCCCUGAUGAUCAAAAUGACCGUGCGUCUACUUAUUCCUAGUAAACCAGAUUCAUGUGAUGAGAAACGUCAUUCGUGUCAUGGCGUAUCGUUUUAUAGAGUCGAUCUCACUGAGCUUGAUUAUCGUCGCACAGAUGAUGAGUUAACUAACCCCUUGAUCACAACACUGAGGCUCUGAAACGUGUGCAAGUUGCAGGAAGACUCUAUCACCAUGAAACCUCAUGUCAGAGUCAAGUCGCUGUUAUGGUGCUGAAACGUGAUGGUGUAAUAUGCAUACGUGUGGAUUUAUCGCUUCUGAAUGAGACAGUAAAACAGGUCACGAUCACAUGAUCUUCCGUUGGCUAUUGUGUACGUAUCACUGUAUGUGUGUGAGUGAGCUGCAGAUGGAUUCUUUCCUCGUUCCAGUGUCUCUGUGAUUUACCGAAGCGUGAGGUUUAACAGGCAUGGGCAUGUAUUUCUGUGGUCCAAACUACCAGAGCCAAAUAAUUCAAAGACGGUGGAUAAAAACUGAUCGAUUGAUAAAAUGUCAGAGUGAGGAAUAAACUCUGCAGCAGGUCAAACAAUCCAUCUUUAUUUCAUUGAUGCAUCUGUGUAUAUAUAUUUUCAGACAGUGUGUGAGUACUCAGUGAUAUCAGUAUUGACACUACUAGCAAAAUGUGUAACAUACUUAUUCUAUUAUUAAUCAGUCAGGGAGGUCAAAGAACAUUUUAUUUAGCUGUGUUUGUAUAAAGCGAGGAUUCACGAGGUGCUGCAUCUCUGCAUGCUUAAUAAAUCCCAAGAAUGUGGAAACAGCACCGUUCUCACUGUCACUACCCUAGACAUGUCGCUUUCAUUAUUCUCUUUCUAUACUAAAGGCUUCACCGGACUGAUAGGCAUAUGUUUUUUUUAGUUUUAUAUAGGUCAAAGAUCAUUUUAUUUAGCUCUGUUUAUGGUGUAAAUUGUGACCAUGACAAGUGCAGACAUGCACGUUCAUUCACUUGCACUAUCAGACUCAUUUUUUUCAGUAACAUUAGCGUAACGCCGCAGAUGCCCUCUCAGGCAAAUCCACGGCCACCUGCACGAGCUUUUAUAACAUGGCACUCUCAUUUUAUAACAUGGUAAUCGGUGUAAACGUGCCGCACCUGGACGCGCUUCUUUAUAAGAGCUCCACAUGCAGACAUCGUUCCAAUAGAAUGGUGUCAUGCUGCGCUAAUUAACUGUAUUUCAGUUUUCACGAUUUAGGAAGGUGAACACUGAGAUCUGAGUUAGAGAAGUCCGUUAUGUAGGAGUGUAAGAUGACGCUAACAAAGGAGUCAGCCUCCAAGAAGGAGUUUUUAGUUCUUUCACGUUCGGUCAACGAUGUGGCCAUUUUGUGUUAAACCAUAGGCUCCGAGUUGGCCCUCAGACUGCCUCAUAAGCACCACAACCCUUUCAAACUUUAUACCCGGAAGUAAGCUUUGCUGUUAGCACUACAGAUUGGCGUGCACAACCUACCUGGUUCGUCUCCCGCUGAAGGUUGUUGUUCCUGCUACUGUCCUUUUUCUGUUUUCCCAAGCCUGUAU